GUAUGUACCUCGUAUUCUCGUUAAAUAGAAAGACCUCGUUGGCUGUCUAUCUUAACAGUUAGUACAAUCACAAAAACAAGAAGAAUAAGAGCGGCGUAGUGAGGCAGAAUCAAAGAAAAUGAGUUAUCCUCCUCCUCAAGGUUACCCUCCUCCAAAUCAAGGUUACCCGCCACAAGGGUACCCACCACCUCCAAUGGGCGGUUACCCUCCUCCGCAAUAUGCUGCCCCGCCACCACAUCCUCCACAAGAGCAGAAGAAGCAAGUUGGUUGCUUGGAAGGAUGUUUGGCUGCUCUCUGCUGCUGUUGCAUUUUGGAUGCUUGCUUCGAUUGUUUUUAACAAGCAUGCUGGAUUAUUUAUAUUGCUUUUGAAUCUCGGCCCAUAACAAAAGGACAGAAGAUCUAGUUUAUUUUGUAGUGAAUUCUUUAGAUCUUUCACUUGGAAUUUAAUUACUCUAUUUGAUUUUGAUGUGUUGUCAUUUUUUUUUUCCUAUGUGAGCAUGAUUACUGCUUUUGACCUAAUAUCUUGAUCUAUUAUCGAUUAUUCAUGUUGAUGCAGCAA